AUGGGUGCAUACAAGUACAUCCAGGAGCUAUGGAGAAAGAAGCAGCCCGACGUCAUGCACUUUCUUCUGAGGAUCCGCUUUCUUCUGAGGGUUCGCUGCUGGCAGUACCGCCAGCUGUCUGCUCUCCACAGGGCUCCCCGCCCCACCCGGCCUGAUAAAGCACGCCGACUGGACUACAAGACCAAGCAAGGCUACGUUAUAUACAGGAUUCGUGUUCGCCAGUGGUGGCCGAAAACGCCCAGUUCCUAAGGGUGCGACUUACGGCAAGCCUGUCCAUCAUGGUGUUAACCAGCUAAGGUUUGCUCCAAGCCUUCAGUCCCUUGCAGAGGAGGGAGCUGGACGCCACUGUAGGGCUCUGAGAGUCCUGAAUUCUUACUGGGUUGGUGAAGAUUCCACAUACACAUUUUUUGAGGUUAUCCUCAUUGAUCCAUUCCAUAAAGCUAACAGAAGAAAUCCUGACACCUAAUGGAUCACCAAACCAGUCCACAGCACAGGGAGAUGCGUGGGCUGACGUCUGCCUGGCCUUGGAAAGGGCCGUAAGUUCCACCACACUAUUGGUGGUUCUCGCCGGACAGCCUGGAGAAGGCGCAAUACUACCCUGCUCCACCGUUACCGAUAA